GUUAAUCCAGGCUUUAGAUAACCUGAAGAAAGAGAAGCUCACUUUGGAUGAGAAUGUUACAGAUUGACACACCUUGAUUUGAAAAUAUCUUCACCAGGAACAUCCUUCAAGUAUACACACCUUGGAUGUUUGGCAUGUUGCCAAAGGACUGGGUAAGAACAUUGACAAGCUUGGGAAGAAGAAGGGUAUGACAAAAGUGAACCUUUGGAAAAAGUCCACUGUAAACCAUCUGUAUUGGUGUGCCAGUUCAACCAGUGACAGCAGUUCAGAGAUGACAGUUUCCAAGUGGAAUUCUAUUGGUAAUCAUGUUCAAGACAUUAGUCGUCAUAAUGACCAGACCCUCCCAAAAUGUGCCCACAAACGUCUGUGUGGAAAAGAGAAAAAAUAAGUGGAUGGUUCCAAAUGAGAGCAGUACAGAGAAGCUCUUGGGCAUUAUUAAGAGUGUCUGUUUUGAGAAGGAUGUGGCCAUGUUGUGAACAUGACACCAAACUUCACACUUAAAGUCUUUACAUUUGGUCAUCAACCACUUUGCAGCAAAGCUCCUCAAGUACACACCAGAUGUUAUGGACACAAGGUAAAAUUAAUAAUUCCAAGGGUGAUAUUGCUUUGGAUGACGUUCAUGACUGGCUGUGCUCAGUAGGGGUUUUUAACCUACAAAACCUUAUCCACAGUAAACAGUGAUAGUAUGCCUUGUGUUUAUUGAUUUCUUCAGUCAGAUGUCUUGUUGAAUGGUCUGCCAUGUACCAGGGUAUGCCGGCUACAGUGAAGUGGUUGAUAAUAUGUGAUUUGUAUUAAUCAUAUUUGUGAUACUGUCUCUUUGUUGGCCUGAGGGUAUUGAUCCAAAGUCAAAGGUCGACUGUCAGAACCCCC